rnacentral:rRNA from 1 species
GGCGUCGAGUGGCGGACGGGUGAGUAACGCGUAGGAAUCUACCAAAUAGCGGGGGAUAGCCCGGAGAAAUUUGGAUUAAUACCUCAUAGUAUCAUUUGAAGGCAUCUGAGAAUGAUUAAAGAUUUAUCGGUAUAAGAUGGGCAUGCGUAAGAUUAGUUAGUUGGUGAGGUAACGGCUCACCAAGACUUCGAUCUUUAGGGGUUCUGAGAGGAUGAUCCCCCACACUGGUACUGAGAUACGGACCAGACUUC